rnacentral:lncRNA from 1 species
AAGCAAACACUGAAAUGAAAGAAAUGAGACCCCCACACCCAGCUGUGCCCGGUGCUCGCUUUGUGAGGGGAUGGGUGGCAACAACUGGGCGGGGUGCGUGACCCUGAGAUGACCCCGGCCCCGCCGCCUCAGGUGGAAAAGGCGCGGAGGAGGAGGCGGGAAACGAGAGCAGCUGCAAGCAAAAGAGGCGGGAAACGACGGCGGCGUUCUGCGCUCCUAUUGGCUGAGGCACAAGUGCUUGCCUGAGGGUGUGGUUGCAAAUGGUGUGCUUAGAGAGUGAAGUAGCAAGAGGGAUGUGGGCUGAGAAGGAGGUAUGGGAAAUUGGAGAGAAAGCAUCUUCGUACAUCCUUGGAGAGGAACUGAUGGAAAGGAGGAAAGCGCUGAAGAGAUGGAGAAAGUAGGGGAAGAAGCUCUACAGAAAGGAAGAUAAAGUAGAACACAGACAGAAACACUCAGCUGUAAUGUAAAAUACAACUUGCAAAUAAACAUGUCAUGGUUUUAUCGUUUUCUGUUAUGAGUGUUCCACAUCAUAACAUCCUGCAGUGUGCUGGGAGUUAAAGACUUAUGCCCCAGUUCUGUGGAUGGAACCCAUGGCCCAAAAUUUUGGCAGCUGAAAACCUCACAUAGAAGUUCUUAUUCAUAACUUAACAGGAAAUGCUCAAAGGAAGAGAUAAAUUUUUGGGAACUGGCAUAGGUUGGUUUGUUUAGCAGUGGGGGAUCAGUGAUUAGUUUAAGAAACAAUGUGUUAGUUUAGUAAGAGGAAUCCAUAAGUAAUAGUUACUAAGUUGUUCAUUUCAGCUUCAGUGGGUGAACAGUCCUGUUUUACUUCAGUUUUGCACUGGGGACACCAUAGAGUACUUCUAUCUUCUGCCUCAAAAAAUGCAAGGACAUUUUCCUGGAAAAAGACUGAAUGUCCUGGUGCCAACUGUGAGGAGUACAGGAAUGCUGAUUUCAAAUACCUGAGUGGGAAUGGAGCUUGCUGGACCCCACGGCCACCCUGUAAGUAGGUUAGUGCUAUUUUCCCCACCCCUCUUCCUCCUGCUGAGCACUGUUGCCUGUCAGUGUGGCGGCCCUGUACUCAGGGUGCAUGUCAUGUCACUUGGCCUUUGGCCUUACCUGAG